UGCGCAGGCGGUUUUGUAAGUCGGAUGUGAAAUCCCCGGGCUCAACCUGAGAACUGCGUUCGAAACUGCAAGGCUAGAGUGUGUCAGAGGGGGGUAGAAUUCCACGUGUAGCAGUGAAAUGCGUAGAGAUGUGGAGGAAUACCAAUGGCGAAGGCAGCCCCCUGGGAUAACACUGACGCUCAUGCACGAAAGCGUGGGGAGCAAACA
rnacentral:rRNA from 1 species